ACUGCUCAGUAACACGUGGAUAACCUGCCCUUGGGUCCGGCAUAACUCCGGGAAACUGGAGAUAAUUCCGGAUAACGCAUAUAUGCUGGAAUGCUUUAUGCGUAAAAUGGAUUCGUCUGCCCAAGGAUGGGUCUGCGGCCUAUCAGGUAGUAGUGGGUGUAAUGUACCUACUAGCCUACGACGGGUACGGGUUGUGAGAGCAAGAGCCCGGAGAUGGAUUCUGAGACAUGAAUCCAGGCCCUACGGGGCGCAGCAGGCGCGAAAACUUUACAAUGCGGGAAACCGUGAUAAGGGGACACCGAGUGCCAGCAUCAUAUGCUGGCUGUCCAGGUGUGUAAAAUACACCUGUUAGCAAGGGCCGGGCAAGACCGGUGCCAGCCGCCGCGGUAACACCGGCGGCCCGAGUGGUGAUCGUGAUUAUUGGGUCUAAAGGGUCCGUAGCCGGUUUGGUCAGUCCUCCGGGAAAUCUGACAGCUCAACUGUUAGGCUUUCGGGGGAUACUGCCAGACUUGGAACCGGGAGAGGUAAGAGGUACUACAGGGGUAGGAGUGAAAUCUUGUAAUCCCUGUGGGACCACCUGUGGCGAAGGCGUCUUACCAGAACGGGUUCGACGGUGAGGGACGAAAGCUGGGGGCACGAACCGGAUUAGAUACCCGGGUAGUCCCAGCCGUAAACGAUGCUCGCUAGGUGUCAGGCAUGGCGCGACCGUGUCUGGUGCCGCAGGGAAGCCGUGAAGCGAGCCACCUGGGAAGUACGGCCGCAAGGCUGAAACUUAAAGGAAUUGGCGGGGGAGCAC
rnacentral:rRNA from 1 species